AUUCCAGCUCCAGUAGCGUAUAUUAAAGUUGUUGCAGUUAAAAAGCUCGUAGUUGGAUUUCUGACUUCAGAUACCUGACCCUCCCUCGCUAGAGGUGAGUGUGCCGGAGUAUUUGUAUCAUCCUUUCAGUGAUCGGCUCUACCCUUAACCGGGUCGGAGCUGCCAGCUGGAUCUUUUACUUUGAAGAAAUUGGAGUGUUUAAAGCAGGCUUACGCCAGAACAUAUUAGCAUGGAAUAAUAAUUUAGGACUUUUGUUCUAUUUUGUUGGUUUCUAGGACGAAAGUAAUGAUUGAUAGGGAUAGUUGGGGGUGCUAGUAUUCGGCGGCCAGAGGUGAAAUUCUUUGAUCCGCUGAAGACUAACUUAUGCGAAAGCAUUCACCAAGGAUGUCUUCAUUG
rnacentral:rRNA from 1 species